rnacentral:rRNA from 1 species
GACGAACGCUGGCGGCGUACCUAAUACAUGCAAGUCGAACGCUUCCUUCCUCCCGAGUGCCUGUUCUGAAUUGGAAAGAGCAGUCGCGGACGGGUGAGUAACACGUGUGUAACUUACUCAUCAGUGGGGGAUAACACCUGGAAAUAGGUGCUAAUACCGCAUAACAGUUUAUGCCGCAUGGCAUCAGAGUGUACGGCGUUUUCGGGUGCCGUUGCUGGUUGGACACGUGGUGCAUUAGCUAGUUGGCGAGGUAACGGCUCACCAAGGCCACGAUGCAUAGCUGACCUGAGAGGGUGAUCGGCCACACUGGGACUGAGACACGGCCCAGACUCCUACGGGAGGCAGCAGUAGGGAAUAUUCGGCAAUGGACGAAAGUCUGACCGAGCAACGCCGCGUGAGUGAAGAAGGUUUUCGGAUCGUAAAACUCUUUUGUUAGAGAAGAACAGCGGCGUUAGUAACUGAACGUCCCCUGACGGUAUCUAACCAGAAAGCCACGGCUAACUACGUG